CAAAGGUAAUUUUUUGGACACCAGUAGGGCUAGAAGUUAGCCCUGCAGGCAGAGUUAUUCUGGGUUAACUCCCUUCUCUUGCCCGAGUUUGCAUCUGUUUCCUUCAUGCCCCACCCCCUCCUAGGUCAGGGUGGGGGAUGGGCAGACCACACUGCCUUCAGCUGCCUACUUAAAAACACUUCCCUCUGAGCAGAACUCCUUUCGACACAGAUAUUAUCAGCUCCGGACCCCAUCCUUCCUAGAGAAUCCUGCCAGACUCAGCAGCAUGUUUGCCAGGACCCUCCCCAUCCUUGCCAGGCUCUACCUCCUGGGUGUGCUCCUCUUCAUUCUCCCAGGUUCCGAAGCCCAGGUGCGGCUAGUGGAGACAGGAGGAAAAGUCACACAUGAAGGCCAGUCUGUGACCCUGACCUGCAAGGCCUUUGGCUUUAACAUCAAGGAUUAUAUCAUGGCUUGGUACCGGGGCUUAACUGAGAGCCACAGGGAGCUGGUGGCCAGCAUCAGCCCCAAAACUGGCAGUGACAAAAUAUACAGCCCCAGAAUUCAAGGCAGGGCUUCCAUCGAGAGGGACAAUAUGGACAGAACUGUCUCUCUGACCUUGAGCCGGCUUAAAAAGGAGGACUCAGGCACAUACUACUGUGCCAGACUCACUUUGCUAGAGCCCAGGUAGAGACCUUGACACAAACCUGGGAUUAGAGCCCCAGAUUCUGUGCUGUGUGGUGCUCUGUGAGUAUGUCUGGGGAAGAGAAGAAAUAGACUCUCCAUGCGUGCAUUUUUGAGUGUUCAGAGAAGGGAAGAGAAAGGCUCUAUGUGUGUGUGUCUGUGUGUUUACAUAUGUACAUGUAUACAGAGAAAGGAAGAAACAAAUUAUGUGUGUGUGUGCUAAAGUAAGUGGUAGGACUUUUCUCCCAGCCUGCAGCAUUCCUUUGCAAUCUUGAGACUUUAACCACUGCUUCAGGCUCAGUUGAUGGCCUCCACCAUGCUUCCUCAUGUGCCCCCAUGGGGCUAGGACUCCAGACCUAAUUCCUGGGAAGACAAUCAAUGACUAAGAACAGGUAGAAUUCAGGCUGAAAUUCUGCUGUGAGAGCACAUUGUUGAUA